rnacentral:rRNA from 1 species
AGAGUUUGAUCAUGGCUCAGAUUGAACGCUGGCGGCAGGCCUAACACAUGCAAGUCGAGCGGUAGCACAGAGAGCUUGCUCUCGGGUGACGAGCGGCGGACGGGUGAGUAAUGUCUGGGAAACUGCCUGAUGGAGGGGGAUAACUACUGGAAACGGUAGCUAAUACCGCAUAAUGUCGCAAGACCAAAGUGGGGGACCUUCGGGCCUCAUGCCAUCAGAUGUGCCCAGAUGGGAUUAGCUAGUAGGUGGGGUAACGGCUCACCUAGGCGACGAUCCCUAGCUGGUCUGAGAGGAUGACCAGCCACACUGGAACUGAGACACGGUCCAGACUCCUACGGGAGGCAGCAGUGGGGAAUAUUGCACAAUGGGCGCAAGCCUGAUGCAGCCAUGCCGCGUGUAUGAAGAAGGCCUUCGGGUUGUAAAGUACUUUCAGCGGGGAGGAAGGUGUUGUGGUUAAUAACCACAGCAAUUGACGUUACCCGCAGAAGAAGCACCGGCUAACUCCGUGCCAGCAGCCGCGGUAAUACGGAGGGUGCAAGCGUUAAUCGGAAUUACUGGGCGUAAAGCGCACGCAGGCGGUCUGUCAAGUCGGAUGUGAAAUCCCCGGGCUCAACCUGGGAACUGCAUUCGAAACUGGCAGGCUAGAGUCUUGUAGAGGGGGGUAGAAUUCCAGGUGUAGCGGUGAAAUGCGUAGAGAUCUGGAGGAAUACCGGUGGCGAAGGCGGCCCCCUGGACAAAGACUGACGCUCAGGUGCGAAAGCGUGGGGAGCAAACAGGAUUAGAUACCCUGGUAGUCCACGCCGUAAACGAUGUCGAUUUGGAGGUUGUGCCCUUGAGGCGUGGCUUCCGGAGCUAACGCGUUAAAUCGACCGCCUGGGGAGUACGGCCGCAAGGUUAAAACUCAAAUGAAUUGACGGGGGCCCGCACAAGCGGUGGAGCAUGUGGUUUAAUUCGAUGCAACGCGAAGAACCUUACCUGGUCUUGACAUCCACAGAACUUAGCAGAGAUGCUUUGGUGCCUUCGGGAACUGUGAGACAGGUGCUGCAUGGCUGUCGUCAGCUCGUGUUGUGAAAUGUUGGGUUAAGUCCCGCAACGAGCGCAACCCUUAUCCUUUGUUGCCAGCGGUUAGGCCGGGAACUCAAAGGAGACUGCCAGUGAUAAACUGGAGGAAGGUGGGGAUGACGUCAAGUCAUCAUGGCCCUUACGACCAGGGCUACACACGUGCUACAAUGGCAUAUACAAAGAGAAGCGACCUCGCGAGAGCAAGCGGACCUCAUAAAGUAUGUCGUAGUCCGGAUUGGAGUCUGCAACUCGACUCCAUGAAGUCGGAAUCGCUAGUAAUCGUAGAUCAGAAUGCUACGGUGAAUACGUUCCCGGGCCUUGUACACACCGCCCGUCACACCAUGGGAGUGGGUUGCAAAAGAAGUAGGUAGCUUAACCUUCGGGAGGGCGCUUACCACUUUGUGAUUCAUGACUGGGGUGAAGUCGUAACAAGGUAACCGUAGGGGAACCUGCGGUUGGAUCACCU